GAACUCUUCAUCCGCCACAUCCAGGGCCUCAGUCUCGAGGUCCAGAGCGAGCUGGCCGCUGCCAUCCAGGAGGUACUGAGACGGUUCGGCAGCCCAGACUGGUAUGGCACCUGGGACGCCCUUGCCACACCGCGGCUUCCACUGAACUGCUCUUCCUGCGCCCCAGGUGACCCAGCCGGGGGCCGGCGUGGUGCUGGCACUGUCUGGGCCAGAGCCUGGGGAUCUGGCACCUGCCGAGCUGGAGAUGCUGUCCCGGAGCCUGAUGGGGACACUGUCGAAGCUGGCACGGGAGCGUGACCUGGGGGCCCAGCGGCUGGCUGAACUGCUGCUGGAGCGAGAACCCCUCUGCUUGGGGCCUGAGGCUCCCUCUAGGGCUCCCGCCGAGGGCCCCUCGCACCAUCUGGCCCUGCAGCUGGCCAACGCCAAGGCUCAGCUGCGGCGUCUGCGGCAGGAGCUGGAGGAGAAGGCCGAGCUGCUGCUAGACUCCCAGGCCGAGGUGCAGGGUUUGGAGGCCGAAAUAAGAAGGCUCCGCCAGGAGCUCCACACCGUCUGGCCCAGGCCCAGGCGCUGUCGGGACAGGCCAAGCGGGCCGAGCUGUACCGCGAGGAGGCAGAGGCGCUGCGGGAGCGGGCCGGCCGCCUGCCCCGC
rnacentral:lncRNA from 1 species